rnacentral:rRNA from 1 species
GCUGACGAGUGGCGGACGGGUGAGUAAUGUCUGGGAAACUGCCUGAUGGAGGGGGAUAACUACUGGAAACGGUAGCUAAUACCGCAUAACGUCGCAAGACCAAAGAGGGGGACCUUCGGGCCUCUUGCCAUCGGAUGUGCCCAGAUGGGAUUAGCUAGUAGGUGGGGUAACGGCUCACCUAGGCGACGAUCCCUAGCUGGUCUGAGAGGAUGACCAGCCACACUGGAACUGAGACACGGUCCAGACUCCUACGGGAGGCAGCAGUGGGGAAUAUUGCACAAUGGGCGCAAGCCUGAUGCAGCCAUGCCGCGUGUAUGAAGAAGGCC